GGCGGACGGGUGAGUAACGCGUGGGUAACCUACCCUGUACACACGGAUAACAUACCGAAAGGUAUGCUAAUACGGGAUAAUAUAUUUGAGAGGCAUCUCUUAAAUAUCAAAGGUGAGCCAGUACAGGAUGGACCCGCGUCUGAUUAGCUAGUUGGUAAGGUAACGGCUUACCAAGGCGACGAUCAGUAGCCGACCUGAGAGGGUGAUCGGCCACAUUGGAACUGAGACACGGUCCAAACUCCUACGGGAGGCAGCAGUGGGGAAUAUUGCACAAUGGGCGAAAGCCUGAUGCAGCAACGCCGCGUGAGUGAUGAAGGCCUUCGGGUCGUAAAACUCUGUCCUCAAGGAAGAUAAUGACGGUACUUGAGGAGGAAGCCCCGGCUAACUACGUGCCAGCAGCCGCGGUAAUACGUAGGGGGCUAGCGUUAUCCGGAUUUACUGGGCGUAAAGGGUGCGUAGGCGGUCUUUCAAGUCAGGAGUGAAAGGCUACGGCUCAACCGUAGUAAGCUCUUGAAACUGGGAGACUUGAGUGCAGGAGAGGAGAGUGGAAUUCCUAGUGUAGCGGUGAAAUGCGUAGAUAUUAGGAGGAACACCAGUUGCGAAGGCGGCUCUCUGGACUGUAACUGACGCUGAGGCACGAAAGCGUGGGGAGC
rnacentral:rRNA from 1 species